CUAGGCGUUUCAUCCGGGAUCACGUCUCCCCUCCUUGAAGUUCAGCCUCCCGAUUGAGCUCCGCACCAGACGCUUGAUCCGGGACCGCGCCUCCAUAUGCUCUUCUCCCUUAUAUUCCUUCUCUUCCCUAACACUGGGGAGGACCGGAAUAUCCCUUGGAGGUGGCGUUCCCCUGGAGGCAGCGGGAGCUUCUUCUGCGGCGGCUCCUCGUCUUUUUCGUGAGGCGUGGAUGGCGCCUCUGGGUAGGAGCAGUGUGGACUUCUCCUUCGUCCACUUCUUCUUCAUCCGCGCCGGCUCUUCGUCUUUUUCGUGAGAC
rnacentral:lncRNA from 1 species